rnacentral:lncRNA from 10 species
CUCGCGGCCGCCGCGCGCGCGACCGCCCCCAGCGCCCCGCCCCUGCCUGUCCCCGCGCACGCUCCCCGCCGGCCCCCACGCAUACGCCCCCGGCGCUGCUGCGGCGGCUGGCUUGGGAGGGGGUCGAGGGAGCGGGAGCUUGGGGUGGGCUUCGGGAGCGCAGGGAACGGCGGGAGCCGGGAGGUGACGGCUAGCAGCGUGAGAAGGCCGCUGGCUCCUGAGAAAUCCCCCUCCUCCAGGUGGUUUUGUCCUUUUGGACCAAUUAUCUAACCUGGGCCUGGACUCCAUCUACCACUGUCCUGCCUGGUUCACUGCAGCUCACUUCAUCUUCCUGUGCCUUCUCUGAAAGGGCCCCUCCAAAAGUUUCCUGGAAACUCUCAAACAACUGAGAAGGUGCCUCGACAUCUGAUUUGCCCCAAACCUCUAUACACUGGACAUCUUCUGAAUAAGGCUGUGUUGUAUGUUGGGACAAGCAAAGGGAUGGAAAUCAAGAAUUCUGGGUUUUAGUCCUGACUGUCACUACAUGGCUGUGUUACUUCUGACUCUGUGAAGCAGAACUCGGGCCUCUAGCGUCUGCUAGUCUAGAUCUAAAGGUGUUUCCUGAGGGACAGUUUGGCCUGGCAUGCAGGUACCUCUGCAGACCACAACAGUGCACCGAAAACACCCCCUCCCAGCACGCACACAAGUCUGGCUCCUCAGCCAAACAUCAAACACCAACACUGCUGCCCAUGCCAGAUGCCAAGUGAGAUAAUGUGUGUUAUACCCUUAGUGUGUUACAAAGAGAAAAGAUUAAUAAAUGUUAGCUAUCCUUAUCUUCAUUAUCUAAAUAAGGCAUGUGGAUCUCUUUUCAUUUAAACUCACAAAAUACCUGCUUAGAAGGCC